rnacentral:rRNA from 1 species
ACACGUAAGGGGCAAGCGUUGUUCGGAAUUAUUGGGCGUAAAGGGCAUGUAGGCGGUUUCGUAAGCCUGGUGUGAAAGGCUGCAGCUUAACUGUAGCAUUGCAUUGGGUACUGCGAGACUUGAAUCACGGAGGGGAAACUAGAAUUCCAGGUGUAGGGGUGGAAUCUGUAGAUAUCUGGAAGAAUACCGGUGGCGAAGGCGGGUUUCUGGCCGAUGAUUGACGCUGAGGUGCGAAAGUGCGGGGAGCAAACAGGAUUAGAUACCCUGGUAGUCCGCACCGUAAACGAUGUACACUAGGUGUAGGGGCAUGAGUUUCUGUGCCAAAGCUAACGUGAUAAGUGUACCGCCUGGGAAGUAUGCCCGCAAGGGUGAA